GAUGAAGAACGUAGCGAAAUGCGAUAACUAAUGUGAAUUGCAGAAUUCAGUGAAUCAUCGAGUCUUUGAACGCACAUUGCGCCCCCUGGUAUUCUGGGGGGCAUGCCUGUCCGAGCGUCAUUGCUGCCCUCAAGCACGGCUUGUGUGUUGGGCUCCGUCCCCCCGGGGACGGGCCCGAAAGGCAGCGGCGGCACCGAGUCCGGUCCUCGAGCGUAUGGGGCUUUGUCACCCGCUCUGUAGGCCCGGCCGGCGCCAGCCGACAACCCAUCAUCCUUUUCAGGUUGACCUCGGAUCAGGUAGGGAUACCCGCUGAACUUAAGCAUAUCAAUAAGCGGAGGA
rnacentral:misc_RNA from 1 species